rnacentral:rRNA from 1 species
UACGAAGGGGGCUAGCGUUGCUCGGAAUCACUGGGCGUAAAGCGCACGUAGGCGGCUUCUUAAGUCAGGGGUGAAAUCCUGGAGCUCAACUCCAGAACUGCCUUUGAUACUGGGAGCUCGAGUCCGGGAGAGGUGAGUGGAACUGCGAGUGUAGAGGUGAAAUUCGUAGAUAUUCGCAAGAACACCAGUGGCGAAGGCGGCCCACUGGCCCGGUACUGACGCUGAGGUGGCGAAAGCGUGGGGAGCAAACAGGG